rnacentral:tRNA from 1 species
CGGGACGUAGCGCAGCCUGGUAGCGCACUUGCAUGGGGUGCAAGGGGUCGCGAGUUCGAAUCUCGCCGUCCCGACCA